CUGGCUAUUCCUUUACUAUUCAUUAUGAGUUUUUUUGUUGAUUAUAUAUUCAUCAAGCCAUUCUUAGACAACUUUGUAUAAUUUUAGGCUGAAUCAGAACAAUCUAGAGAAUCAACUUCUAAGUCAGCACAGCAUGAAGAGCAUAAAGAAUGGCAAGAUGCAUGGGAUGAGGGAGAUAAAAUUGAAGUGGAGAAGCAAGGACUUGACGAACAUGGUGAAUUCUGGGAGAAGCUAAAGUUGAUCACUGAGAGAAAGGCAAAAUGGACAAACAGUGGAUACAGAAUCAUAAUAGAUGUGCUAUCGAGUACUUGGAUGGAAUAAAUGAUUUCAUUGAAUUCGCAACUAGACACAACCGAGGUUCAACUCAUAUUCGAUGUCCCUGUAGGAAGUGUAACAACUCAAUGAGGGAAACAUUCGAAAAUGUUCGAUUUCAUUUAGUAAGAAAUGGGAUGAUGGAGACCUAUACUACUUGGUAUCAUCAUGGAGAACGAUUAGACCAAGCUUCGUCUUCAUACAUGACACGAGUGGAGACUGUUGAAUGUAAUGUGGAUCCUAAUGAACAAGUUAUGGAUAUUCUAAAUGAUGUUUAUCCAUAUGCUACAACCAACACCAAUCAAGAAGGGGGAGAUGACGGUCGUCCAACCAUGGAUAGUGAGGCAUUCAAAAACUAUGAAAAACUACUGAAAAAUGCCAAGCAAGAAUUAUAUCCGGGGUGUGAAAACUUUUCGAUGCUCACAGCAAUUGUGGAGUUGAUGCAUGGCAAGAUCAAGUUUCGUUUGUCAAACAAAUGUUUCGAUUACUUUUUAGGAGUUAUCAAGAGGAUGCUUCCAAAGGACAAUUGUUUACCUAAUCAUAAAAGUGCCCAAAAAGUGUUGAAGGGUCUUGGAUUGGGGUAUGAAAAAAUUCAUGCAUGUGUAAAUAAUUGUAUAUUGUUCUAUAAGGAGAACACACAGUUGGAUAAAUGCCCUGUAUGCAAUGAGCCAAGGUUUAAAAUGACAUCACAAAAUAGAAAGACCAAGAUUCCAUAAAAAGUAAUGCGUUAUCUUCCAUUGAAGCCUAGGUUGCAACGAUUGUACAUGUCGAUGCACACCGCUACCGAUAUGAGAUGGCAUAAAGAAGGACGAGUAAAUGACGAUGUUAUGAGGCAUCCUGCAGAUGGAGAAGCAUGGAAAGAAUUCGAUCGAAUGUACCCUGAUUUUGCAGCUGACCCGCAAAACGUCAGAUUAGGACUUGCCACCGGCAGAUUUAAUCCGUUUGGGGUUCUAAACCAAAUCCAUAGCACUUGGCCGGUCGUCGUGUUUCCUUAUAAUCUGCUGCCUUGGAAGUGCAUGAAAAAAGAAUACAUGAUGUUAACUCUAUUAAUUACUGAAGAUCCAGGAAAGUCCAUUGAUGUUUAUUUGCGGCCGUUGGUAGAUGAGCUAAAAGAUUUAUGGGAAAACGGUGUUCGUACAUAUGAUAAGUAUACUGGGCAAAUGUUCACCAUGAGAGCAGCAGUGAUGUGGACAGUAAACAAUUUUCCCGUGUAUGCAAUGGUUUCUGGGUGGAUGACUAAGGGUUAUUUGGCAUGUCCAAUAUGCAAGGAGAAUGUAACAUCGUCUUGGCAUGCGAGAAAAGUUUGUUAUCUUGGUCAUCGUAGAUGGCUCCCUUGGGACAACGAGUGGCGUCAGAACGAUAAAGCCUUCCACGGCACAAAAGAGACUCGACCAAGACCAAGAGAAUGGUCUGGAGAUGAGAUUUUGGAUCAAUUAAACCGUUUGGAAUUUGGUCAUUUUGGCAAAGGGGUCAGUAAGCCCAGACCAACUACACAUCUGAACUGGACACACAAGAGUAUGUUAUUUGAGCUCCCAUAUUGGUCAAAGUUAAAAUUGAGACACAACCUCAAUGUUAUGCAUAUUGAGAAAAAUGUGUUUGAUACUUUGGUCGGGACAAUUCUAGACAUUGAAGGAAAAACAAAAGACACGGUUGAAGCUCGCCUUGAUUUGGAACAAAUGGGCAUUAGGCCAUCCUUAUGGAUGAACAAAGUUGGUGGUACAUUGAAGAAAGGCCAUCCUUUUUUUACAGUUAAUCCGAAUGGGAAGAAAGAGUUUUUCAACUUUAUUUCUUCUGUAAAGUUUCCAGAUGGGUAUGCUUCCAAUAUCUCGCGUUGCGUGAACGUGAGAGGGUGUAAAUUUUCAAACAUGAAGAGUCAUGAUUGUCAUGUGAUACUCCAACGCCUUCUACCAGUUGGUAUUCGACACUUAUUGCCUCUUGAUGUGGUGAAACCAAUCAUGUUGUUGUCUAGAUUUUUUUCACAAUUGACUGCAAGGUGUUUGCGGAAGUCGGAUGUUAAACAAUUGCAGGACGACAUUGUGAACGUCUUAUGCAAGUUCGAACAGAUAUUUCCUCCAGCUUUCUUUACAAGUAUGAUUCACGUGAUGAUUCACUUGCCAGAUGAGGCAUUGCUUGCUGGACCAGUCAAUUGCCGAUGGAUGUAUCCAAUAGAAAGAUAUCUUGGUGAGUUGAAAAAGUGUGUCCGAAAUAGGGCAAAGCCCGAAGGAUCACUUGUGGAGGCAUGGGUCGCAUAUGAGUCACUUACUUUUUGUGCAAUGUAUCUUCAAGAUGUUGAGACAGCUUUCAAUCGUCCUCAACGCAAUAAUGACGGUGGUGUCAGAAAAGAGAAACUAUAUAUUUUUGCCCAAAUUGCGCGACCAUUCGGCGAGCCUGUAAAAGGCGAAUCGUUUACCAAAAAAGACAUGGAGGUAGCGCAUUGGUUCAUACUCAACAAUUGUGAUGAGGUUUUGCCAUACCUUGAAGAGCAUGAACGGUUGAUGAAGCGGGAACAUCCUUCACAUUUAUAUGCCAAGAAGCACCGUGAAUUGUUUCCUUCAUGGUUUCACGAACAUAUGAACAAAUUGAAGGAAUUGAAUUCACCCUCUUACGAUGAAGAAUUAUAUAACUUGGCAAGAGGACCGCUUCACGUUGAAUUGUUCUCAGGUUGUCAUGUCAACGGGAUCAAGUUCUUGGGGGCAACACGUGAUGACAAGUCGUCUACUCAAAAUAGUGGUGUCCACGUCCCGGGUGCGGGCGACAGUGAAGACAUUGAUUUUUAUGGUAAACUAACUAGUGUAGUACAAUUGCUUUACAAAGACAGGUGUCAAGUGAUACUGUUUAAGUGUCUUUGGAUUGAUACAAACCCACAUAACUGAACGAGUGUUAAGCGAGACCAUGGUUUACUAUCAAUAAACACUACCAGACGUUGGUACGAUGAAGGCCCAUACAUUUUGGCAACUAUGGCGAAACAAAUAUUCUUCCUAGACGACCCUAAAGCCGGCAAUGGUUGGAAAGUUGUUCAGAAGAUUGAUCGAAGAGGGCUAUAUGAUAUUCCGGAACUAAAUCAAGAUGACAACGACGACAACAUCGCUGACCAACAGUUAUCAUCUUUGAUAAAAAUUGGUGAAGAAACACUCCGAGAUACUAAUGUUGUCCAAGAACCGUUUGAAGUAGUUGGAGUUCCCGAAUUCGAAAUACCAAUAGAGUCAAUUUCAAUUGACCUUGGUGAUCUGCCACGAUACAAUGCACCGGAAGAGGCAAAUGAAGAUGAGGAUGAAUGGAAAUCCGAAAAUGAUAGUAGUGAGGAUAGCGAGAGUUAUUAUUGUAGUUCAGAUGAGGAUUAAUAUAAACUUGUAAAGGAAAAACCAGGAGAUUGAGGAGAGGCAAAGUCAAACUAAAAAAAGGCACGGGAAGAAUCUGAUCGUGAUCGUUUGAAGGUUAAAAAGGCCUUAAAGGGGGUGAAGGUAGCACUUUCUCAUCCUGAGGAUAGGUCUUAUACAAUCACAGGGGUCUCGGUGGAACCCCUGGCAAGCUGAUGCAUUCAAGUUAGGAUUAACGAUGAUGAUUUUCAAUCAUAUAUGCUGAUAUUGAAGGGCCAGGCAUGUUUAUUUUUUGGCAUAAGCUGUAAUUUAGUCUUUCGCUCCUAUCGUUUGAAUAUUUUUGAGA